AGCAUAAAUUGCAUACAUUUACUAUAACAGAUAGGUUUUAUGUGACGCGUGUACUCACACUCUAUUUCAUGGUGCGUUUUAUAAAUACAUAUUAUAAGAUUUGCUUAUAUAUAGAAUAGAUACAGGGGUUGGAAUAGAAAAAAUUUAGUAGUUAACAAUUCAUAAUAUCAAGAUAAUAUAUAGGAAAUCUAACCAUAGUACAUAU
rnacentral:sRNA from 1 species